UACAGAGGUCUCAAGCGUUGUUCGGAUUCAUUGGGCGUAAAGGGCGCGUAGGCGGGCUGUCCAGUCUGGGGUGAAAUCCCGCGGCUCAACCGCGGAACGGCCUCGGAUACUGACGGCCUCGAGGGGGGUAGGGGCAUCUGGAACUGUAGGUGGAGCGGUGAAAUGCGUUGAUAUCUACAGGAACUCCGGUGGCGAAGGCGAGGUGCUGGACCCCUUCUGACGCUGAGGCGCGAAAGCCAGGGGAGCAAACGGG
rnacentral:rRNA from 1 species